rnacentral:rRNA from 1 species
UUCCGGUUGAUCCUGCCGGAGGUCACUGCUAUUGGGGUUCGGCUAAGCCAUGCAAGCGGAGGGUGCGGUCGAAAGAUCAUGGCCCCGCACACGGCUCAGUAACACGUGGUCAACCUACCCUUGGGACGGGGACAACCUCGGGAAACUGAGGCUAAUACCCGAUAGGCGAGGGACGCUGGGAUGCCUCCUCGCCCAAAGCUCUGGCGCCCAAGGAUGGGACUGUGGCCUAUCAGGCUGUUGGUGGUGUAACGGACCACCAAACCUACGACGGGUACGGGCGAUGGGAGUCGGAGCCCGGAGAUGGGGACUGAGACAAGGCCCCAGGCCCUACGGGGCGCAGCAGGCGCGAAAACUCCGCAAUGCGCGCAAGCGUGACGGGGGGACCCCAAGUGCCGUUGGUCUUUCGAUCGACGGUUUUUAGGAAGUCUAAGAAGCUUCCGGAAUAAGGGCUGGGCAAGACUGGUGCCAGCCGCCGCGGUAACACCAGCAGCCCGAGUGGUGGCCACGAUUAUUGGGCCUAAAGCGCUCGUAGCCGGAUCAUCAAGUCCCUUGUGAAAUCGGGCCGCCCAACGGUUCGGCGUGCAAGGGAUACUGUUGGUCUUGAGGCCGGGAGAGGUCGGAGGUACUCCUGGGGUAGCGGUGAAGUGCUCUAAUCCUAGGGGGACCACCAGUGGCGAAGGCGUCCGACCAGAACGGACCUGACGGUGAGGGGCGAAGGCUAGGGGAGCGAACGGGAUUAGAUACCCCGGUAGUCCUAGCUGUAAAGCAUGCGGGCUAGGUGUCUAGCGCUCCUCGAGGGCGCUAUGUGCCGGAGGGAAGCCGUAAAGCUCGCCGCCUGGGAAGUACGGCCGCAA